rnacentral:tRNA from 1 species
GUUAGUGUAGCAAAACCCGGUGUUGCAAAAGACCUAAACCCUUUCUACAGAGGUUCAAAUCCUCUCGCUAACU